rnacentral:lncRNA from 1 species
AAAAAAUGAAAGAUAUGGACGUUUUUCACAAAAACCUUAAAAGGUAGGGACGUCUUGUGCCAAUUACCUUACUCACACCCUUGUCAAUCAGCAGCGUGAUAGUCUGGCCCGACCCCGUAGACACAAUAAAAACCAGACAAUGGUUUGAAAUUUGGCUUUGAACUGGGAGUGUCUUGAAGAGGGAGCUAUAGGAGGACAUGGUGUGGGCCCAGGUAUUUGUAGACCAUAUACGAUUGUUGCGCUUGUCAAGGGAGAUGUAAGAGCGGUGGGUGAAAUCACUGGUGGAUCUAGAGAACACAGUGUGUGGCUUCGGGUUUGGGUCGGAUUAUAAAGAUGUAAAAGGGUCAAUGUAGCAAUUGUUAUAGCGACAAACUAGAGCUUGUUGAAAUGAAACGGAGGUCUGUGUGGAUAUUGACCAUACUUGAGGAUCAAAAAAGUGGGAUUGGAUGGGGAAAAAGUUGACAGUGGUCGUGGUGGUGGGAGAGAAGGAAGAGAAGGAAUUUUUUUUUUAUUGUUUUUAAUUUUUUAAUAAUUUGUUUGGGACUCUGAUUUUUUU